rnacentral:rRNA from 1 species
UAGAGUAAUGCGUGACCAACCUGCCCCAUGCUCCAGAAUAGCUCUUGGAAACGGGUGGUAAUGCUGGAUGCUCCAACUUGACGCAUGUCUUGUUGGGAAAGUGUUUAGUGGCAUGGGAUGGGGUCGCGUCCUAUCAGCUUGUAGGCGGGGUAAUGGCCCACCUAGGCUUCGACGGGUAGCCGGCCUGAGAGGGCGGACGGCCACAUUGGGACUGAGAUACGGACCAGACUCCUACGGGAGGCAGCAGCU